AUCAUUUAAUACGCAGUGGAAACGAAAUGAUUCGCAAUUUUUGACAAGAAAAUUAUUGACUAAUGGCAUUGAGAAUACUAUUAUGAAACUAUGAAAGUAAUGAUUCUUCCACAUGUUGCCGUUGUAGGUGUAUAUCGAGUUGUAAGUGUUGAUGUUUAUGUACUUCUCAAUUUAACAUUUUCAUUGGUGACUUUAGUUAAUAUAAAUUAGUUGAAUGAAACUAAUAGAAGGCUAUAUAAUUUCGUAAGGUUACAUAAUUUCUUUAUCAUUGAUCAUAACUAUAGACAAUUAGUGUCUGCUGUCAUUACAGACUUUGAUAGAUCAUUUUUAUACAAAUUUAGCAGAGUCAGAAGCUAAGUCACACAUAGUGGAAACAUUUUUCUUAAAGCACUUCAUAGCAAUUAAUGUGCAU